rnacentral:rRNA from 1 species
GAAAGGUAAGGGUUGUAAUGCCCAAGCUUGAUCGAUCCCAGAGGAAGCACCGGCUAACUUCGUGCCAGCAGCCGCGGUAAUACGAAGGGUGCAAGCGUUGUUCGGAAUCACUGGGCUUAAAGCGCGCGUAGGCGGGUAGUUAAGUGCUUUGUGAAAUCCCACGGCUUAACCGUGGAAUUGCAGGGCAUACUGGCUAUCUUGAGGCAAGUAGGGGUGCAUGGAACUCUGAGUGGAGCGGUGAAAUGCGUAGAUAUUCAGAGGAACGCCAGUGGAGAAAUCGGUGCACUGGGCUUGUCCUGACGCUGAGGUGCGAAAGCGUGGGUAGCGAACGGGAUUAGAUACCCCGGUAGUCCACGCCGUAAACGAUGACUACUAGGUCGUGGCAAUUCUGACGUUGUCGCGGCCGAAGCAAAAGUGUUAAGUAGUCCGCCUGGGGAGUACGGUCGCAAGGCUAAAACUCAAAGGAAUUGACGGGGGCUCACACAAGCGGUGGAGCAUGUGGCUUAAUUCGAAGCAACGCGAAGAACCUUAUCCUGGGUUUGACAUGUACGGAUGCCCUUUGCGAAAGCAAAGUAAGCUGCCUUCGGGUGAAACGUACACAGGUGCCGCAUGGCUGUCGUCAGCUCGUGUCGUGAGAUGUUGGGUUAAGUCCCUUAACGAGCGAAACCCUUGUCGUUAGUUGCCAGCGAGUAAUGUCGGGGACUCUAACGAGACUGCCGGUGUUAAACCGGAGGAAGGUGGGGAUGACGUCAAGUCCUCAUGGCCUUUAUGCCCAGGGCUGCACACGUGCUACAAUGGCG